AUUGAACGCUGGCGGCAUGCUUUACACAUGCAAGUCGAACGGCAGCGCGGGGCAACCUGGCGGCGAGUGGCGCACGGGUGAGUAAUAUAUCGGAACGUACCCAGAAGUGGGGGAUAACGUAGCGAAAGUUACGCUAAUACCGCAUACGAUCUACGGAUGAAAGUAGGGGACCGCAAGGCCUUAUGCUUUUGGAGCGGCCGAUAUCUGAUUAGCUAGUUGGUGAGGUAAAGGCUCACCAAGGCGACGAUCAGUAGCUGGUCUGAGAGGACGACCAGCCACACUGGAACUGAGACACGGUCCAGACUCCUACGGGAGGCAGCAGUGGGGAAUUUUGGACAAUGGGCGCAAGCCUGAUCCAGCAAUGCCGCGUGAGUGAAGAAGGCCUUCGGGUUGUAAAGCUCUUUUGUCAGGGAAGAAACGGUAGAGGCUAAUAUCCUUUGCUAAUGACGGUACCUGAAGAAUAAGCACCGGCUAACUACGU
rnacentral:rRNA from 1 species